UGGGGAAUAUUGCACAAUGGGCGAAAGCCUGAUGCAGCAACGCCGCGUGAGUGAUGAAGGUCUUCGGAUUGUAAAGCUCUGUCUUUUGGGACGAUAAUGACGGUACCAAAGGAGGAAGCCACGGCUAACUACGUGCCAGCAGCCGCGGUAAUACGUAGGUGGCGAGCGUUGUCCGGAUUUACUGGGCGUAAAGGGUGCGUAGGCGGAUGUUUAAGUGAGAUGUGAAAUACCCGGGCUUAACUUGGGUGCUGCAUUUCAAACUGGAUAUCUAGAGUGCAGGAGAGGAGAAUGGAAUUCCUAGUGUAGCGGUGAAAUGCGUAGAGAUUAGGAAGAACACCAGUGGCGAAGGCGAUUCUCUGGGCUGUAACUGACGCUGAGGCACGAAAGCGUGGGUAGCAAAACAGGAUUAGAUACCCUGGUAGUCCACGC
rnacentral:rRNA from 1 species